rnacentral:rRNA from 1 species
AGUGAACGCUGGCGGUAGGCCUAACACAUGCAAGUCGAACGGCAGCACAGUAAGAGCUUGCUCUUACGGGUGGCGAGUGGCGGACGGGUGAGGAAUACAUCGGAAUCUACUUUUUCGUGGGGGAUAACGUAGGGAAACUUACGCUAAUACCGCAUACGACCUACGGGUGAAAGCAGGGGAUCUUCGGACCUUGCGCGAUUGAAUGAGCCGAUGUCGGAUUAGCUAGUUGGCGGGGUAAAGGCCCACCAAGGCGACGAUCCGUAGCUGGUCUGAGAGGAUGAUCAGCCAUACUGGAACUGAGACACGGUCCAGACUCCUACGGGAGGCAGCAGUGGGGAAUAUUGGACAAUGGGCGCAAGCCUGAUCCAGCCAUACCGCGUGGGUGAAGAAGGCCUUCGGGUUGUAAAGCCCUUUUGUUGGGAAAGAAAAGCAGCAGGUUAAUACCCCGCUGUUCUGACGGUACCCAAAGGAUAAGCACCGGCUAACUUCGUGC